AUACCAGACUCCUACGGGAGGCAGCAGUGGGGAAUAUUGCACAAUGGGGGGAACCCUGAUGCAGCGACGCCGCGUGGGUGAAGGAGCACCUCGGUGCGUAAAGCCCUAUCGGCAGGGAAGAAACAGACGGUACCUGACUAAGAAGCCCCGGCUAACUACGUGCCAGCAGCCGCGGCAAUACGGAGGGGGCAAGCGUUAUCCGGAUUCACGGGGUGUAAAGGGAGCGUAGACGGCGACGCAAGUCUGGAGUGAAAGCCCGGGGCCCAACCCCGGGACUGCUCUGGAAACUGCGGCGCUGGAGUACGGGAGGGGCAGGCGGAAUUCCUGGUGUAGCGGUGAAAUGCGUAGAUAUCAGGAGGAACACCGGCGGCGAAGGCGGCCUGCUGGACGACAACUGACGGUGAGGCGCGAAAGCGUGGGGAGCAAACAGGAUUAGAUACCCCAGUA
rnacentral:rRNA from 1 species